AAUAUUUUAACGUAAUUUGAAAUUAGAAUAUAUUUUUACUUUAAUUUAUUUAGUUGGGGUGAUUUGAAGAUAAAAUUAAUUCUUUAAUUUUUUAAUUAGUGAUUUCUAAAUUUUGAAUCUAUAAUUUAUAAAAUUAAAAUAAAUUACCUUAGGGAUAACAGCGUAAUUUUUCUUUAAAGUUCAUAUUGAAAGGAAAGUUUGCGACCUCGAUGUUGGAUUAAAAUUAAUUUUUGGUGCAAUAACUUAAAAAUUGGGUCUGUUCGACCUUUAAAAUUUUACAUGAUCUGAGUUUAAACCGGUGUAAACCAGGUUGGAUUCUAUCUUUAGAAAGUUAUUAUAUUUUAGUACGAAAGGACCAAGUAUAAGUUAAAUUAAUUG
rnacentral:rRNA from 1 species